GACGAACGCUGGCGGCGUGCCUAAUACAUGCAAGUUGAGCGAUGAAGCUUGGUGCUUGCACCAAUUUGAAGAGCAGCGAACGGGUGAGUAACGCGUGGGGAAUCUGCCUUUGAGCGGGGGACAACAUUUGGAAACGAAUGCUAAUACCGCAUAAUAACUUUAAACAUAAGUUUUAAGUUUGAAAGAUGCAAUUGCAUCACUCAAAGAUGAUCCCGCGUUGUAUUAGCUAGUUGGUGAGGUAAAGGCUCACCAAGGCGAUGAUACAUAGCCGACCUGAGAGGGUGAUCGGCCACAGUGGGACUGAGACACGGCCAAAACUCCUACGGGAGGCAGCAGUAGGGAAUCUUCGGCAAUGGACGAAAGUCUGACCGAGCAACGCCGCGUGAGUGAAGAAGGUUUUCGGAUCGUAAAACUCUGUUGGUAGAGAAGAACGUUGGUGAGAGUGGAAAGCUCAUAAAGUGACGGUAACUACCCAGAAAGGGACGGCUAACUACGUG
rnacentral:rRNA from 1 species